UACGUAGGGGGCUAGCGUUGUCCGGAAUCAUUGGGCGUAAAGCGCGUGUAGGCGGCUUUGCAAGUCGGGUGUGAAAGCCCUCGGCUCAACCGAGGAAGUGCGCCCGAAACUGCAGAGCUUGAGUGCCGGAGAGGGUGGCGGAAUUCCCCAAGUAGAGGUGAAAUUCGUAGAUAUGGGGAGGAACACCGGUGGCGAAGGCGGCCACCUGGACGGUAACUGACGCUGAGACGCGAAAGCGUGGGGAGCAAACAGG
rnacentral:rRNA from 1 species